rnacentral:rRNA from 1 species
CCUACGGGAGGCAGCAGUGGGGAAUAUUGCACAAUGGGGGAAACCCUGAUGCAGCGACGCCGCGUGAGUGAAGAAGUAAUUCGUUACGUAAAGCUCUAUCAGCAGGGAAGAAGAAAGUGACGGUACCUUAGGAAUAAGCCUCGGCUAACUACGCGCCAGCAGCCGCGGUAAUACGUAGGAGGCAAGCGUUAUCCGGAAUGACUGGGCGUAAAGGGUGCGGAGGUGGUUUGAUAAGUUGGUAGCGUAACUCCGAGGCUCAACCUCGGCACUACUACCCAAACUGUCGGACUUGAGUGCAGGAGAGGCAACUGGAAUUCCUAGUGUAGCGGUGGAAUGCGUAGAUAUUAGGAGGAACACCAGUGGCGAAGGCGAGUUGCUGGACUGUAACUGACACUGAGGCACGAAAGCGUGGGGAGCAAACAGGAUUAGAUACCCUAGUAGUC